CGGUAUUAUUUGUUUAUCUGGCUAACUCAUCUACAUUUACCUUAUUAGCUGUCUGAUUUGUACUGUGAUUGGAGCAGACUUGUGGGGCAUUUUUCAUGGUCUCUCCAUUGCUUAGGAGAAGGGAUUCAAGAAGGUAGUGGUGGAAUGUGACAGUUCCCAAGCUGUCCAGCUGUUGAAUGAUGGCCAGGCUGCUUCUGAUAACUUGGCAUUGGUUAGAAAAUAUAGUCGAACUGCGCGGACGUGGUGGUGAUAUUUGCAUUGUCCUUCUCCCACGGACUGCCAAUCAAGUGGCGGGCAAAACAGGGGUUUAGCAUGGGUUUCGAGCUGCAAAUUUUUGUUUCCCCUCCUGCUGGUGCUUGGAAUAUGCUUUGUCAGGAUGUUUUGAGAUCUUGUUCUAUAUGGUAGACCAUGCAUGUACACCUGAGGAAGUUCACCAGCAAUUCCAAUCUUGUGGAACCGUGAACAGAGAUUUUGACAGACAAGUUUGGUCAACCUAAAGGAUUUGCCUAAUUUGAAUUUGUUGAAGUUGAUGCUGUCCAUCUCCCACAGACUGCCAAUCAAGUGGUUGACAUCAUUAUUUUGCGGCCUAGUUGGCUUGAAGCCUGGUUGCGCAUAGAAACUGUUUGAUAAAAUGCUUAAGAAAAGCUAUGUCUAUUGCUGCCUGACAUUGUUCAGCUCAGAAACUUGACAUAUUAAGUAGGCAAUUUUUUAGAAGAAAAAUCUUUAGGCUUUCAUUCUUGCUAAUACUUUGAUGACUGCAAACCCAUUCUUAAUAUCUAAACUGUUUAUAACAACAUAUCUAGGAGUUUUGUUUGGAUUGAAUUGAGGAAAAUGUUUUUCUAAUGUUUUCCUAACUUUGAAGAAAUUGGAUCGGAUUGGAUAAACACAGAAGCUCGUCCUGAAGAUCCAAUACUUAUCUUGAGCUCGUUGAAGAUAUUCUCUUAAAUAGUAGUCAUGCUGGUGGAGAUUGAGAUUGAUUGCAAUUGAUAAGAAAGUUUUGAUUCUUUAUAAAUUGAGGAGACUUAUAUA